rnacentral:lncRNA from 1 species
AGUGAGCAAAGCCCAGAGAGUAGCUGUUCUCUCAGUCUGGGUCCUGGAGUGAGGAUGAAGAGAGCCCCAGAUGACCUGCAGAGGAAAUGUAUCAAGAAAAAAAAUGAACGUGUCAUCUCUCCUGACGACACCAGGCACAGUAUGUAACCACAAUCCAGCUCUUCAGAGACAUUCCCAGCAGCCACAGCAGCCACCUCAAGUUGACCAAAACCACUCCGCAGUCUCCGGUGUUCUCAGUCCCAGCAUUUUACUGGACUAUUGCUCCUCUUUGGGCCUAGGUGUCGAAAAAAUAGAACUUUAAAGGCUGCUUUUUGUGUUCUUAGAGGGGCAAGUUUUCUAGGGUAAAGAGGCAUGGGUGUUCUUUGAAGUUAGCUGCAGCAUAACUGUCUGCAUUUGGGACUGGCAGCCUCACCUCCCGUUUCAGAUGAGGUCCUACCAGCAGCAGCCAAGAACGUGCGCUGAGAAGACUUUGUUCUCUGUCUCCACCAGGUCUCUCUAGCGUCCCCUUCCCUGGCCUGCUAUGGUCACUUGUGCAAAGCAGCUGGAGAGACUGUGCCUUGUGAAGCUCGUUCAUUGAUGUUCCGCAGGUUCUCUGUGUACAUCUGCAGUUGACUUUACCUCUUGUCUGAUGGCUGGGUUGUGGGCUAUGCAGGCAAACUCUCAGCAACUGGACUUUGAAAGCGAAGUGGACAAGCUGGCAUCGCACUGCCACAUGAGACUGAACUACAUAUUUGGAAUUGGGAGAAAGGUUGCCUGGUUCCUCAUCCCUUUAACCUCACUUACUUCUCUUGAAUGGCAGCUGGGUCUUGAUACCACAGAGGAUGACUGUUGCUGCAGAAGCUGCCACUCCCACCUUCCUUCCUCUCCCACCGUUCCCUGAAACAGAAGGGUAGGAGGGAAGAAAGCAGUUUGACACACCCUAAGCCCAGAGGGUGGUUUUCAAGGACUGGUACCUGGCUCCACAGCAACUAUAGCACCUGGGAACUUAUUAGAAAUGUGCAUUCAUGGACCCUGGCACCAAUUCCUAAACAGACUCUUGGGUUUUGGUCUGGCAGUCUCUGUGUUGAUGAGUCAUCCAGGUGAUUCUUAUACUGAAGUGUGAGAGCUGCUGGCUUGUGGUCUGACCUCAGGAGGUAGGUAGCCUGCCUUCAAGGGCAUCCAUCCUGGUAAAAUAUCAUUAGCUCCCCUAUCUUCUUUGCUUUAGCAAGAGAUAUCCACUUGUAGUAAGGUGCAGAAUAUCUUGAAAUCCCAGUUAUCUCCUGGCCUACUGGGUGCUUUGUAUUAGUUGCAAGUCACAAGUGCCAUUUGGGUGGUGGCAGCACCCAGGAGACACAGGCAUGACAGCUAUUAGUGAAGUCCUUUGUGUGGACAGCAGCAUCUCCAGCAUCUCAUGAUAAAAGACCACAUAUUGCACCUCUUUCUGACAGAGGCCAACAUGCACUUCCUCAUGGCCUUGAACUCUUUGGCUCUACAUGAGUUUAGAAACAGUUUGAGCAGUGGUUUCACUGUAGUUUAUGAAAUGUCUAUUUUGUAUGUCCAUCAAGAUACUUAGUAUCUGGGUGAAAUCCUCAGCACCACAAGAAAGUAACAACAACCACAAUAACAAAAACCCUUAAUAUCUGAAAGGUGAGCUCAUCUCUUGCAAGUUUCAAUUUAUUAGAUGUCAUUUUGAUAAAAUGUAGAAAG